GACGAACGCUGGCGGCGUGCCUAAUACAUGCAAGUAGAACGCAGUUGCGAACGGGUGAGUAACGCGUAGGUAACUGCCUGGUAGCGGGGGAUAACUAUUGGAAACGAUAUCUAAUACCGCAUACUACCAGAUGGACCUGAGUUGUAUUAGCUAGUUGUUGGGGUAACGGCUCACCAAGGCAACGAUACAUAGCCGACCGUAGAGGGUUAUCGGGCAAAAUGGGAAUGGGACACGGCCCAGACUCGUACGGGAGGCAGCAGAAGGGAAUCGUCGGGAAUGGACGGAAGUCUGACCGAGCAACGCCGCGUGAGUGAAGAAUGUUUUCGGAUCGUAAAGCUCUGUUGUAAGAGAAGCGGUAUCUUACCAGAAAGGGACGGCUAACUACGUGCCAGCAGCCGCGGUAAUUC
rnacentral:rRNA from 1 species